AAAAAACCAGUUGUGCCACCAAAAUUGCCUGCAAAAAAGAAGGAUGGGUCUAAAAAACCAGUUGUGCCACCAAAAUUGCCUGCAAAAAAGAAGGACGGGUCCAAAAAACCAGUUGUGCCACCAAAAUUGACUCCAAAAGAGAAGGAUGGGGCUAACAAACCAAAUGUCCCACCAAAAUUGCCUGUAACAAAGAAGGAUGGGUCAAAAACACCCAUUGUCCCACCAAAAUUGGAAAGUGGGAAGUUAUCCUUACCUAUCACAGGUUUUACAGUACUUUAGUCACAAUCCAAUGUUUGUAACAAUACACAAGUUACAAGUCAAUCGUUUUCUCAUUAAACAUUUCUUAAUAUUUCAUUGUCUACUGUUGAGAACGGAAAAUCCUAAUCGAUGAAUCAAAAUUUGUCCUGACACAAGGAGCAUAAAAUCAGCCAACAAUAUUAUUCAGACUUUACUUAUUUUAUUCACUUUCAGCGC